rnacentral:tRNA from 1 species
GGCUUAGCUCAAUUGGUAGAGCACCUGACUUGUAAUCAGGGGGUUACGGGUUCAAGUCCUGUAGCCGG